AUUACCCAAAAUUAAAUUAUUUGGAGUUUUUGAAAUUUUCAAUGUCGAUCCAAGUAUCUAGUUGGGACGAAGUAGAUCUAAAAGAAAAGAAAUACAUUCCAAAAACAACAUGGAGAGAAGAUCGAGACAAGCAUGUUAAGAAACUGGACAUCGAAUUUCCCGGUUUUAUGACAAAUCAGCUGCAAAUCAUGUUGGAUGUACCAACAAAUAAAGUUAGAGUUAUGUCAAUGAAAACAAUCGGAUACAAUGUCAUUCGUGUCAACGAAUCCAUAAAAAUUCCGAACGACUGCGCACUAGACGGUGUCUACGCAAUAUUUUCUAAUGACAUUCUUACCAUUACAUUUCCGAUGAAAACAAUAGGUUAGUGUUCAUCUAAAUCGAGAUUUACUAUCUUAAUGAAUAAAUACCAACUUCCUAUAUAUGUAUACACACACAUAUACACGCGCACGAGUUGGAAGUCUAUUAAUAUGUAUAAUUUUUAUUAAAUUUGAUUAUGUUAUGGUCGGUGAUAUGUGAGAACUUCGAGUAAUAUGGAGUACGUGGAAUUUCGUGUGAAUCAUUAAGAGCCAUCUUGCAAAGCUUCUGGGUGACCGAUGGUCUUCCAAGCAGUACGAAGAGGCAAGGACUCUGACCGUGUGGCUGUUGAAGAAUGAGUCGGUGACUUAUAAGCAGUGGCUCAGUUAAGGAAACUAUAUAUAUAUAUAUAUUGUAAAUGUCUUCUCGGUUAAACAGUGGGUCGUUUUGAGUUACUUUUACGAGUUUGUAAAAAUAAUUUUUAUUUUUAUUUUUA